GGAAUUUUAGCUGGUUCUUUUGCUAUGCCCAUAGGUAUGAGAAAAUGGCCUAUCAUCCUUAGCUAUAGUUCAUAAAGUUCAUGGCUUCCUGUUCCUUUAAACCUUGUUUUUAAUGCUGCAAUUGCUUUUGCUUUUAGAGUUAAGUUGAUGCAGAAACUAUGUGACAACAUAGGCGUUGUCCACCCCGGCAGUCAGAGGGUGGAGGAUGUCUGCAAGGAAAGAUAACCAAGAAAAUAACAGAUAGAGAUGUUUUUCUGUUUUUCUGUAACUGUGAUAUCUUCUAGUCAGAGAAGCACUCAUACUCUGUACAUGCCUAAAUGCUUAGCUUCUUAUUGGUUGUUGCAUUUUCAGAACUGUAUUAUGAUUGGUGAGAAAGUUCUGCCAUGGUAUCUAAGGGGAACUGACUCUAUAAAUAUGUUGACAUUUCCUGAAAUUAUUGGGCAGUUUCCUCAGACUGCCACCUUGCAGCGCUGCUCGUAAUAAACCUUCUAAGGAGAGAGAAAUUGUGUCUUGAGAGUCUUUGACCACCACUCAGCGAACCACACAGGAACCCGUGGUUUCGGGUUCCGCCACAAUUUGGCGACGAGGACGGAUGAGUGGUACACUGGAGAGCCUCUGCUCAUGGAGACCUGACACAGGAAAUCCUCCAACGUGCGCACAGAUCAGGUGAGUAGGAACCACAUUAAAAUCCUACAACAGGAGGGCUUUCCUUGGUCAACUCUCCCUGUGGCUGGAGUUUUCUAGCGACUAUUAGUUCAACUCCAAAGAAAAGUGAGAAACAAGCAACUGCUUCCAGCUGAUGUUCCAUGUCAUCAUUUCCAACCAAGAGAUGCAGUGUUCAUAAAAGUCCAUAAAAAGCCCAAUUCGUUGGCUCCUACUUAGGACGGGCCUUGUAUUGUGUUGCUGACCACACACACCUGGAUACAUGCAGCCCAUGUGAAAAAGCUAAAUCCAGGACGCCAGACGGAUGAUCCAGAUGAUCCAGUUGCACUAGAAAGUUACUCAGACCUGAUUGAGAUGUUAAAGGAUGAAAGAAGCUGCCAGGAGGAAGCCAAGAGAGCCCCCUGCACAUGCUAAGCGACCAAGUGUCCAGUGGAGAGAGCGAGUUGAAGCUGAAGAGCAGGAACUCCCCUCCACGGAACGACAUCUGGUCAGUCAGCAAGAUCAGCUGUCCUUUUAACCUCAAGUCAAGAGUUUCUGAGUUAACGAGGCAUAAUAACCCUCCAACGAAAUCUGGAUGCUCUAAGAGACAUUCAGUGAAGAGAAGAUAUUAAGACAACGCCGUUACAACUACUUUGUGCGUUUUUAACCUCUAUAGUUCUCUGAAUUGUAAAAAUGAAAUUUGAGUGUGUGUUAUUUCUUAUUAUACAAGCCCUGCCUUGCAUUGCAAUCCAAAAAAGAGUCUCAAAAGCAUCCCAUGACUUGAGCAGGUAAAAAAAAAAAAAAAGUAUUCAGUUGCAUUAUUAAGCAAAGAACAAAAGAGUGAAGAUUAGAGCUUUAAUAGAGAAUGGUUUUAUGGCUAUGGGCAAAGCAACGACCAUCAGGAGGGAAUCUGUCGCGGAAUUUUAGCUGGUUCUUUUGCUAUGCCCAUAGGUAUGAGAAAAUGGCCUAUCAUCCUUAGCUAUAGUUCAUAAAGUUCAUGGCUUCCUGUUCCUUUAAACCUUGUUUUUAAUGCUGCAAUUGCUUUUGCUUUUAGAGUUAAGUUGAUGCAGAAACUAUGUGACAACAUAGGCGUUGUCCACCCCGGCAGUCAGAGGGUGGAGGAUGUCUGCAAGGAAAGAUAACCAAGAAAAUAACAGAUAGAGAUGUUUUUCUGUUUUUCUGUAACUGUGAUAUCUUCUAGUCAGAGAAGCACUCAUACUCUGUACAUGCCUAAAUGCUUAGCUUCUUAUUGGUUGUUGCAUUUUCAGAACUGUAUUAUGAUUGGUGAGAAAGUUCUGCCAUGGUAUCUAAGGGGAACUGACUCUAUAAAUAUGUUGACAUUUCCUGAAAUUAUUGGGCAGUUUCCUCAGACUGCCACCUUGCAGCGCUGCUCGUAAUAAACCUUCUAAGGAGAGAGAAA